rnacentral:rRNA from 1 species
GACGAAGGGGGCUAGCGUUGUUCGGAAUUACUGGGCGUAAAGCGCGUGUAGGCGGUUGCCAAAGUCAGGGGUGAAAGCCUUGAGCUCAACUCAAGAAUUGCACUCGAUACUUGGUGACUAGAGGACCGGAGAGGAUAGUGGAAUUCCCAGUGUAGUGGUGAAAUACGUAGAGAUUGGGAAGAACACCAGUGGCGAAGGCGGCUAUCUGGACGGUUUCUGACGCUAAGACGCGAAAGCGUGGGGAGCAAACAGG